AACCGUUUCGUUCUGUAUGCGGAUAAAGAAAAUGGUUGCGCGAAACCAUUUUUGGCAGACGCUUCCACGGGACGGCUCCGGCACGGAUGGCCGGGGUAAAU
rfam:Termite gut metagenome tgut2b_Contig9935, whole genome shotgun sequence.